CAAACGACUCUCGGCAACGGAUAUCUCGGCUCUCGCAUUGAUGAAGAAAGUAGCGAAAUGCGAUACUUGGUGUGAAUUGCAGAAUCUCGUGAACCAUCGAGUCUUUGAACGCAAGUUGCGCCCGAAGCCAUUAGGCCAAGGGGACGUCUGCCUGGGCGUCACGC
rnacentral:rRNA from 1 species